rnacentral:rRNA from 1 species
UACGGGGGGGGCAAGCGUUGUUCGGAAUUACUGGGCGUAAAGGGCUCGUAGGUUGCCAACUAAGUCAGACGUGAAAUCCCUCGGCUUAACCGGGGAACUGCGUCUGAUACUGGAUGGCUUGAGUUCGGGAGAGGGAUGCGGAAUUCCAGGUGUAGCGGUGAAAUGCGUAGAUAUCUGGAGGAACACCGGUGGCGAAGGCGGCAUCCUGGACCAACACUGACACUGAGGAGCGAAAGCCAGGGGAGCAAACGGG